UUUGGACCAGGAUUAGAUACCCUGUUACUUUUAAUAAAAAAAUUUUGGAGUAGUAUUAUUAAUGAAAUUUAACGGAUUUGGCGGCAAGAUAGCCCCUUAGAGGAACCUGCCCUGUAAACGAUGAGCCACGAGGUACUCUACUUUUUUUGGUAAUCAGUUUGUAUAUCGCUGUUGUCAGUUAGAUUCUUGAGAAUAUUUUCGUUCAUGAUAAGUUCAUUGACUUCAAGUAAAGGUGCAGCUUAUAAAAAAGAUAGAGGUGGGUUACAUUUAUAAGAAUAAAACGGAAAGGAUAGUUGAAAUAGUCCUUGAAGGUGGAUUUAACUGUAAAACUUAAAUAGGUUUGGUGAGAGCUCUAUCUUGUGUACACACCGCCCGUCGCUCUCUUUUCAAAA
rnacentral:rRNA from 1 species